CCCUUCACCCUUUUUCUUUGUGCCAUCCAUUAAAGAGAAAAAUCCCUAAGCAUCAUCCUGCAAUUUUUGGUCUUCAACUCUAAUCCUCUUGAUUUCGACCAUCUUUCUCAUAUCAAAUCUCCUCAAAAUUUAAAAGGAAACACCAAGAGCACCAUUAAUUUCUUUUUCAUCCAACUUGUGGGUUUUCUCGAAUUUUCCAUAAAAUGUUCGUUUUUCCCCUCAAUCAAGGAGUCGAUCAUGUGGUUGGAAUUAACGUUCAUCGAUUUGACUCGAAGUGGUGAUCGUUUGGUAAGCGUAUAAGUAGUGAAUCAUUUCGAUUGCUAUCUCCCUCAUGUUGAGUAAUGGUGGAAUUGUGCGAAGUUAGAAGGUAAUCCCCAGGCUUAGGCAGAUCGACGCAGCGGAGGGCUUGAUGGUGACCCACACUAUUGAACUACAAAACUAAGUAUGCAAA